ensembl:rRNA 5S_rRNA 5S ribosomal RNA
GCCUAUGGCCAUACCACCCUGAACGUGCUGAAUCUCGGAAGCUAAGCAGGGUUGGGCCUGGCUGGUACUUGGAUGGGAGAAAGCAAAAAUAUGAAGUUUUAGAACAGCCGGGCGCGGUGGCUC